rnacentral:tRNA from 1 species
AAGGGAUAUAACUCAGUAGUAGAGUGUCACCUUUAUGUGGUGAAAGUCAUCAGUUCAAACCUGAUUAUCCCUA